AUUGAACGCUGGCGGCAGGCCUAACACAUGCAAGUCGAACGGUAACAGGAAGCAGCUUGCUGCUUCGCUGACGAGUGGCGGACGGGUGAGUAAUGUCUGGGAUACUGCCUGAUGGAGGGGGAUAACUACUGGAAACGGUAGCUAAUACCGCAUAACGUCGCAAGACCAAAGAGGGGGACCUUAGGGCCUCUUGCCAUCGGAUGUGCCCAGAUGGGAUUAGCUAGUAGGUGGGGUAACGGCUCACCUAGGCGACGAUCCCUAGCUGGUCUGAGAGGAUGACCAGCCACACUGGAACUGAGACACGGUCCAGACUCCUACGGGAGGCAGCAGUGGGGAAUAUUGCACAAUGGGCGCAAGCCUGAUGCAGCCAUGCCGCGUGUAUGAAGAAGGCCUUCGGGUUGUAAAGUACUUUCAGCGGGGAGGAAGGGAGUAAAGUUAAUACCUUUGCUCAUUGACGUUACCCGCAGAAGAAGCACCGGCUAACUCCGUG
rnacentral:rRNA from 1 species